rnacentral:rRNA from 1 species
GUGGGGAAUUUUGGACAAUGGGCGCAAGCCUGAUCCAGCAAUGCCGCGUGCAGGAAGAAGGCCUUCGGGUUGUAAACUGCUUUUGUACGGAACGAAACGGUCCUGGCUAAUAUCCGGGGCUAAUGACGGUACCGUAAGAAUAAGCACCGGCUAACUACGUGCCAGCAGCCGCGGUAAUACGUAGGGUGCGAGCGUUAAUCGGAAUUACUGGGCGUAAAGCGUGCGCAGGCGGUGCUGUAAGACAGGCGUGAAAUCCCCGGGCUCAACCUGGGAAUUGCGCUUGUGACUGCAGUGCUGGAGUGCGGCAGAGGGGGAUGGAAUUCCGCGUGUAGCAGUGAAAUGCGUAGAUAUGCGGAGGAACACCGAUGGCGAAGGCAGCCUCCUGGGAUAACACUGACGCUCAGGCACGAAAGCGUGGGGAGCAAACAGGAUUAGAUACCCCGGUAGUCC